rnacentral:rRNA from 1 species
GAUGAACGCUGGCGGCGUGCCUAAUACAUGCAAGUCGAGCGAAUGGAUUAAGAGCUUGCUCUUAUGAAGUUAGCGGCGGACGGGUGAGUAACACGUGAGUAACCUGCCCAUAAGACUGGGAUAACUCCGGGAAACCGGGGCUAAUACCGGAUAACAUUUUGAACCGCAUGGUUCGAAAUUGAAAGGCGGCUUCGGCUGUCACUUAUGGAUGGACCCGCGUCGCAUUAGCUAGUUGGUGAGGUAACGGCUCACCAAGGCAACGAUGCGUAGCCGACCUGAGAGGGUGAUCGGCCACACUGUGACUGAGACACGGCCCAGACUCCUACGGGAGGCAGCAGUAGGGAAUCUUCCGCAAUGGACGAAAGUCUGACGGAGCAACGCCGCGUGAGUGAUGAAGGCUUUCGGGUCGUAAAACUCUGUUGUUAGGGAAGAACAAGUGCUAGUUGAAUAAGCUGGCACCUUGACGGUACCUAACCAGAAAGCCACGGCUAACUACGUGCCAGCCGCCGCAGUAA